GUGUCAGCAGCCGCGGUAAUACGUAGGGUCCGAGCGUUGUCCGGAGUUACUGGGCGUAAAGCGCGCGCAGGCGGCUCAUCAAGCAUGGCGUGAAAGCCCCCGGCUCAACCGGGGAGGGUCGUCGUGGACUGGUGAGCUUGAGGGCGGGAGGGGCUGGUGGAAUUCCCGGUGUAGUGGUGAAAUGCGUAGAGAUCGGGAGGAACACCCGUGGCGAAGGCGGCCAGCUGGACCGACCCUGACGCUGAGGCGCGAAGGCGUGGGGAGCGAACGGGAUUAGAUACCCCGGUAGUCCACGCAGUAAACGAUGCAGACUAGGCGUGGGGGGACUUGACCCCCUCCGUGCCGGAGCGAACGCGGUAAGUCUGCCGCCUGGGGAGUACGGCCGCAAGGCUAAA
rnacentral:rRNA from 1 species